rnacentral:rRNA from 1 species
AUUGAACGCUGGCGGCAUGCCUUACACAUGCAAGUCGAACGGUAACAGGUCUUCGGAUGCUGACGAGUGGCGAACGGGUGAGUAAUACAUCGGAACGUGCCCGAUCGUGGGGGAUAACGAGGCGAAAGCUUUGCUAAUACCGCAUACGGUCUACGGAUGAAAGCGGGGGAUCUUCGGACCUCGCGCGGACGGAGCGGCCGAUGGCAGAUUAGGUAGUUGGUGGGAUAAAAGCUUACCAAGCCGACGAUCUGUAGCUGGUCUGAGAGGAUGAUCAGCCACACUGGGACUGAGACACGGCCCAGACUCCUACGGGAGGCAGCAGUGGGGAAUUUUGGACAAUGGGCGAAAGCCUGAUCCAGCCAUGCCGCGUGCAGGAUGAAGGCCUUCGGGUUGUAAACUGCUUUUGUACGGAACGAAAAGCCUCUUUCUAAUAAAGAGGGGUCAUGACGGUACCGUAAGAAUAAGCACCGGCUAACUACGUG